GGCGAUGGUGCGUUGUGAGGUUCUUUUCGUAGGGGCUGACGCACAUGAGACGAGACUUGCAGAUUAAGAACAAGGUUGUGGCAAUGGUCGUGGCGGCGCUAACGGUGGAGAAGAGUGCGGGCGCCGACAUAUCUGCGGAUUUGGAUUCUUGGUGCAUGCUUCUUUGAGCAGUGGAAGGAAUGAUUUGUCAACCUGACAAAAUCCAUACAAAUCCACCAUCUUCCCUGAUGGCCUAGGAAUUGUAAAGGAGUAGGACUGUGCGACUUGGAGCUCCCUACUUGUUGAAGAAGAAGAUUCUGGAUACAUAUACUCACUGAUAUUGUCCCUGUUGGUCAACAGUUCUUGCUCUUAGAGCUGACCCCAAUAUUGAAAUGGCAAGUGGUAAUCCUUCACAAUGUGCUGAAACUUCCUUUGCUAUAGCAAGUGAGUCUGGCUCGAACCGAUCAUCAUGGAUGCCUGCGCGCCUCUUGAACAAAGCCCAAUUUUCUUCUGAAGUUAAAAGAAAUAGAUGAAAGCUGCGUUGACAUCCCAUCAAAUAUGCAACUUGUGGAUUUCUCGUAGUUAAGAGGACUUUACAGUGAUUGUUUAAAAUCCCAAUCUUUUGCAGAUCAAGCUUAUCCCAUAAAUCAUCCAAAAUUAUGAGUACAUGUUCUUCAUUUCUUAAUCUAAGUGAUAGUUGUCUCUGUCUUUCAGCUAGAUCGGAUUCCUCUCCCAAUCGAAGUCCUAAACCGGCAGCUAUGUCACCUUGAAUCCUCUUGACAUUUUCAGCUGUUGUCACAUGAACAAAUAGAACAAGGUCAAACAUGUUCAUCUCCUUUACUCUUUUACCUACAUUCAUUGCUAAGGUUGUCUUUCCUACUCCACCCAUGCCGUACAAUGCCACACAGGAGAUGCUAUCAUCUUUUAAGGCUUCCAAGAUUCCAUUGAAAGUGAUUUGUCUUGAUUCAAAGUCAAACUGCAUAAAAGAACCGCCUUCAGUUCCAUCAACAUGAACCGUGUUCUUUACUUGUUCUUGUACUUGCUCAACUUUUGUCUCCAGUUUCCUCCUAAGAUGUUCUGGUUUCGUCGUCAGAACAUGACCCUGAUGACCCAUUAUAAAGCUCACAAACACAGAUAUGGCAGCAAGUGCAAGGUGAUGAUGUAUUACUCCAAAUUUUCCCCCUUUCUGUAGGUAUAAACAAUUGUUUCUUAUCAUAUAUAACAACAACAAAUCAUUUGAUUCAGAUAGCUGACUACACCUACAUAUAUGCUACCCUCAAUUUGCUUUCCCAAGUUACUCAGAAGUCUUCAAGGACUCUUGUGUUGAUCUCUUCUUGUGGUUGAUCACCAGAAACAGAAUAUGGCAAUACUGAUUGAUUGAUAAAGAACAAAGUUACAAGAGAUUCAUCUCAAGUACUUCAAAAAUGAAAUCACCACUAUGAUAGGUGAA